CUUAGCUGUGAGAGUCACAGGGACAAGACAGGCAGGCUUGGGGAAAAGGGUCAAGAGGCCUACUCCCAUUUGGGGCUCAUGAAGACUUCCAGACGCCCUAAGGACUGAAAAGAGGAUAAUCUCAUCAAGUUAUAGAAAAAUUUAAAAUAUAUGUGAAAACACGAAGUAAUGAUAAGGAAGUCCGACAGAAUUCUCUCUCUCAUUUUCUUUUUUGGAUGACAGCUCUGAUUUAUUCUUUUUUUUUGAGCAUGCUAAGGUUGUUUCGGGGAACGUGACGCCCACUGAGUGGUGUUAAGAGCUACUUCCGUAUUUUGCAGACAAGGCGACUUUAGUCACAGGGGAGAUGGGCUCAGGGCUUUGCCUGAGCCUUCGGUGUGGCCUUGGAAAUGAACGGCCUUAACUCAGAUGGAAGUCUCCGCUUUUCCAUGAAAAGCACUUUCCCAUAGCAAAUUCUGAAUGCAGCCUGAAAUCAAGAUGCGUAUGAAAAUUACUCCUUCGGGGCGUACGUGCAGCUUGUGCAGCUCAAACUGCUUGUUUUCCAGACAGGAGAAAAUUUACGGUUAAAAAUUGUCUCUGGGGGAAGGCUAAUUAGAGUUUGUACUCUGGUUCUUGAAAUACCACCAGCAAAUCUCGUGCUGUUAAUCAGAGCUCAUCUGACUUGGCCAGAGGAUAACCCAGGGCUUAAAAUCAGCUGAGGUUCAUUUUUAGAGAAAGUAGGAGCUUUCUCCAAAACUUGCUCCUCUUCGUACCUGCUUGAAGCUCCAGAAUUUGACAUUCAGAAGGAAUAUGAUUUCAGAAUGCAGAAUCUGGACUGUUUUGGCAGAAAAGCUUGAAGAGAGGCCUCAUAAUGCAAAGAAAAGACACUCCAACUCCUUUACUGCAUGUGCCCUUUUCACUACCCUCCUUAUGCUGGUGGCACCUAGGCUCCCUACCCGCAAACUGAGAGUGGCAGCCACCUGUAACCCUGAAUGGAAGUCACAGCCUCACUGGCAGCUGACUAGAUGGUGCCCACCCAGAUUGAGGGUGGGUCUGCCUUCCCCAGCCCACUGACUCAAACAUCAGCCCCUUUGUCAAUACCGUCACCGGCACACCCAGGACCCAUCUCUGGACCCUUCCAUCCAAUCAAGUUGACACCUAGUGUUAACCGUCACAUUACCUAAGCAGCCUGAGCAUUAGUCACCCCCCUGGAAAAUGGAAGUAACAAUAGCAUCCGUUUCCUGGAUCCUUGUCAAAAGUAACUAAAUGAAGGUAUGUAAAGUAUACAGAACAGCUCCCGGCACAAGCCUCUGCUUAGCAUAUUACACAGGAGGAAGCUGCAGCGUCUUCCAAGGCACCGAGGAGCUUGGUACAUGCAUCUUGGAUUUUGGCUUCUCUUUAUUACCUACAGUAAUAAAGACGAUGCAGGUUUUUACA
rnacentral:lncRNA from 13 species